rnacentral:pre_miRNA from 1 species
CAACUACUCCCUCUGUCCCAAAUUUCUUGUCUUAGAUUUGUCUAGAUACGGAUGUAUCUAAUACUAAAAUGUGACUUGAUACAUCCGUAUCUAGAAAAAUCUAAGACAAGAGUUUUGGGACGGAGGGAGUACUUU